ncrna:unclassified sequences IMES-2 RNA motif
AUAUGAAUUAAGAGGCAACUCUUAACUGGCCAGUUAGGGAAAGGCCGAGAGGUUUAAGCUUAACGGGCAGAAAGUUCUGCAGAGUAGUACUAAAAUUGCAGGACGGGAGGCUUGGCGGUAGUACUAAAACGACGGGCCAA